rnacentral:rRNA from 1 species
GACGAACGCUGGCGGCGUGCCUAACACAUGCAAGUCGAGCGGAGUCGAUCGACGGAAGCCUUCGGGCGGAAGAUGGUUGACUUAGCGGCGGAUGGGUGAGUAACGCGUGGGCAACCUGCCUCGAAGACCGGGAUAACAGCCCGAAAGGGCUGCUAAUACCGGAUGUGGUCAAGGAUCCGCAUGGAUUUUUGAUUAAAGGGGAAACCCGUUUCGAGAUGGGCCCGCGUCCUAUCAGCUAGUUGGUGUGGUAAAAGCUCACCAAGGCGACGACGGGUAGCCGGCCUGAGAGGGUGACCGGCCACACUGGAACUGAGACACGGUCCAGACUCCUACGGGGGGCAGCAGUGGGGAAUCUUCCACAAUGGGCGAAAGCCUGAUGGAGCGACGCCGCGUGAGCGAAGAAGGCCUUCGGGUUGUAAAGCUCUGUCUGGAGGGACGAAGGAAGUGACGGUACCUCGGAGGAAGCCACGGCUAACUACGUGCCAGCAGCCGACGGUAAAAGUACUCUAU